rnacentral:snRNA from 1 species
GUGCCCAUUUCAGCGGUAUGUAUACUAAAAUUGGAAGGAUACAGAGAAGAUUAGCAUGGCCCCAGCACAAGGAUGACAUGCAAAUUUGUGAAGAUUUCCAUAUUUUU